CCUACGGGGGGCUGCAGUGGGGAAUAUUGCACAAUGGGGGAAACCCUGAUGCAGCGACGCCGCGUGAAGGAAGAAGGUCUUCGGAUCGUAAACUUCUAUCAGCAGGGAAGAAUGAAGUGACGGUACCUGACUAAGAAGCCCCGGCUAACUACGUGCCAGCAGCCGCGGUAAUACGUAGGGGGCAAGCGUUAUCCGGAAUCACUGGGUGUAAAGGGUGCGUAGGCGGUAGGGCAAGUCAGAUGUGGAAGCCCGGAGCUCAACGCCGGGAUUGCAUUUGAAACUGUCUUACUAGGGUGCAGGAGAGGAAAGCGGAAUUCCUAGUGUGGCGGUGAAAUGCGUAGAUAUUAGGAAGAGCACCAGUGGCGAAGGCGGCUUUCUGGGCUGUAACUGACGCUGAGGCACGAAAGCGUGGGGAGCGAACAGGAUUAGAUACCCCAGUAGUC
rnacentral:rRNA from 1 species